AACCCAAGAGAGGGAGAAUUAAGGACUGGCAGUGUUAAGGUGAUUGGUGUGUCAGGGGUCAAACUGGGAAAACAUUGGGGAAUUCCUCAGUUUGUCUGUUUGCCAAACUCACCCAAACCUGUGCUAGGAAGAGAUGGACUGGAAAAGUUGAGGCAGAAAUGGAAUUGGAAACUGGGACUAUUGACACUGUAAUUGCUGAAACUAAAUGUGUCCAAGCAGCAGCUCUUGUUGUGCAGGGAAUAACUCCUGUCAGCAGCAAGGCCCCGACUGAAGUGGCAGCUGCAGUUGUUCCUGUGGUGUGGGCCAGUGGAACUGCAGGAGAGUGGAAGAGGGCAGAACCUGUAGGUAUUACCCCUGAUGUGGGAUCUCUCCUGGUAAGGCCAAGCCAGUAUCCUUUCAAAUCAGAAUGGCAGCUUGGAUUGGUUGCAGGAACAGCUGAAUUUGCUCCUCCUGGUUUGCUUGUAGAAGGUGAAUGCCAGAACCUGCCAAGAAACCAAUGGCCAAGGGGAUUGAUUAGUGCAGGACCUGAGAGAACCCCCUGAAAUGACAACCUGGAGUAGUUUCCAGAGAAAAUGGGGCAAGGGGGCAGGAAGAAGAGAAGCCCCGUGACUCCUCCCUGAGCCCCAGCCAGCCCCUGAACUGCCUCCCUGGGAAUGGUGGGACGGGCUGGACUCUGGAUUGCUCCCUCUGCAUGUGUGGCUCUCCCCUCAGGAACUGCAGGAACUCCUGGUGCCGCCUGGGCCGAUGGAUUGGACGCCCCAGCCCCUCCGUUCCUGCCCAGCCACUGGGGCCGUGUCCAGUGGUGGCACUGCCAGCCCUGCAGUGGGAUGGAGCCUGGAAACUGCCCAGAGCUGAGCCCAGGGAUUGAAAGGGACCAAGCAAGGGAGGUGAAGAAAGAAGGAAGAAGGCAAGUGAGGCAGCAGGCAAGCAGCACCAAGUUGCUGUGUAAGCAGGUGAGUUGUGUUGAGGUUCCUCAGGCAGGCACUGAGGACUUGGAGGGCUCCAGACAGAGCAGACCUGGGAAGGCCCUCGGUGAAGCCCCUCAGAGACCUUCUAAGGGUAGGUGUGUAUGGUGAUGAGUGUUGGGAAU